CCUACGGGUGGCAGCAGUGGGGAAUAUUGGACAAUGGGGGGAACCCUGAUCCAGCCAUGCCGCGUGUGUGAAGAAGGCCCUCGGGUUGUAAAGCACUUUCAGUGAGGAAGAACGCCUGGUGGUUAAUACACAUCAGGAAAGACAUCACUCACAGAAGAAGCACCGGCUAACUCCGUGCCAGCAGCCGCGGUAAUACGGAGGGUGCGAGCGUUAAUCGGAAUUACUGGGCGUAAAGCGCGCGUAGGUGGCUUGAUAAGCCGGUUGUGAAAGCCCCGGGCUCAACCUGGGAACGGCAUCCGGAACUGUCAAGCUAGAGUGCAGGAGAGGAAGGUAGAAUUCCCGGUGUAGCGGUGAAAUGCGUAGAGAUCGGGAGGAAUACCAGUGGCGAAGGCGGCCUUCUGGACUGACACUGACACUGAGGUGCGAAAGCGUGGGUAGCAAACAGGAUUAGAUACCCCAGUAGUC
rnacentral:rRNA from 1 species